GAUAAGUUGUAUGGACCGGGCACGUUUGGCGGGCAGAGGGUUAACGUAAUACGUGAGAUCAAUGAAAAAUAUGGAAAGAAACCAUACAAAACAUAUCGAGAAAACGGUAAAGUGACCACCGAGUCGUGGAAGACCUCGAGCUCCUAAGAAUACGGAAUGCACAAUUUCUAGCCAUAGACAGGGAUGCAUAUGGGAGGAGGUAGCGGUGUAGUGAAGCGGCGAUGGGCUUACCUACGGUCUGGAUGAAGCCGCAAAACCGUAUGAAAAAAAAUCUAACCUUUUA